GCUGGGUGUGGUGGCGUGCACCUGUAGUCCCAGCAACUCAGGAGGCUGAGGCAGGAGAAUCGCUUGAACCCGGGAGGCGGAGGUUGCAGUGAGCUAAGAUCACGCCACUGCACUCCAGCCUGGGUGACAGAGCGAGACUCUGUCUCGG
rnacentral:SRP_RNA from 1 species